GACAGAGGGUGCAAACGUUGUUCGGAUUUACUGGGCGUAAAGCGCGUGCAGGCGGCCGAUUAAGUCCGGUGUGAAAGCCCGGGGCUCACCCCCGGAAGUGCGCUGGAAACUGAUCGGCUAGAGUGCGGGAGAGGGAAGCGGAAUUCCUGGUGUAGCGGUGAAAUGCGUAGAUAUCAGGAGGAACACCGGCGGCGAAGGCGGCAUCCUGGACCGGUAUCGACGCUGAGGCGCGAAAGCCAGGGGAGCAAACGGG
rnacentral:rRNA from 1 species